rnacentral:rRNA from 1 species
UACAGAGGGUGCGAGCGUUGUUCGGAAUUAUUGGGCGUAAAGGGCGCGUAGGCGGUGCCACAAGUCACCUGUGAAAUCUCCGGGCUUAACUCGGAGCCUGCAGGCGAAACUGUGGUGCUGGAGUGUGGGAGAGGUGCGUGGAAUUCCUGGUGUAGCGGUGAAAUGCGCAGAUAUCAGGAGGAACACCGGUGGCGAAGGCGGAUCUCUGGGCCAUUACUGACGCUGAGGAGCGAAAGCGUGGGGAGCGAACAGG